AGUGGCUCCUAGCAACAGUGAGGCCAGCUUGCCCAGGCAGCAGGACGCACAUCUUUCCUGGAGGGUCCUGGCAUGGCCAUGCCCCCACGGACAAGAGCUGGGCGCCAUCGUGCACCCUGUGGAAAGAGAUGGAGCCCAGGACACAGCGGGCAUGCAGCUCGCCUGAGGCCACCUCGUUCUUCAGUCUGGAAACCAGAUCCACCCCUGGCUUAGCACGGUCCCCAGCCCCAUGUGAGGGCCGGCCAGAGUCCUGGGAAGGGGACCCAGGGCCAGGCGGGCACUUGCCUGCAAGAGCUCUGUCACCGAGCUGCUCGCCAGGCCUGUGCCACCGGACUUCUGAGAGCACCCCUGCCAGUGCCACCUGGCUUCGAACCCCCAGCAACUCUGCCUAGGGGAGCUCGGGGUCACAGUGUAUUCCCUCCCGGGGCCUCACAGGAUGUCCAGGACCCCAGGAGGAGGAGGGCCCAGCGGCCAGCUCCCACAGAGUGAGGUCACCUGCUGGCCGCUGGGCCCCGGCGCCCUGUGCCUCACCUGGCCCUCCUCCUCCCGGUCCCUCCACCGACUCUUCCUCCCGCUUCUACCCUGGCCGUGGGCUGAGGACACAGCGAGCCUGUGUGUGCCCUGAGCAGCCCACCUGCAAGGGCAGCCGGCAACCCAGGGCUGAGCCGGUCCUGGCCCUGACUCAUCAGUACACAGCCUGCCCGGGGUACAGUACCUGAGGCCCGGCCGCGCCGCCCUUCCUCCUGGCUGUCCCUGCUCAGCAGGGCCCUGCCCUGCCCUGCCGUUACAAAAUGUCCAAGGCAGGCCAGCCUCCAGGGCGGGGCACCCUUGGCCUCGCGCCUGCCUGGCUCCAGGCCAGCUGGAGGCUGUAAAGCAAGAUUUUACCGCCACUUCCUCCAGAGGCCUCUAGUCCUUUCCUGAACCCCGGAGGAGCUACCCAGCAAGGGCAGCACCAGGCCACGCCGUCUGUGGAUUCCGAGCCACAGGGCCCAGCCUCAGGUGAACCCAGGGCAGCGGACCUGGGAAUCAUGAUGCGAGACGGGGCCCAGAAAGAUCCUGUCCACCCGCCUCAGCCUCCCCUUCUCUGAGCCUCUGUUUCCCU